rnacentral:rRNA from 1 species
GACGAACGCUGGCGGCGUGCUUAACACAUGCAAGUCGAACGGAGAGGCCCUGCUUUUGUGGGGUGCUCGAGUGGCGAACGGGUGAGUAACACGUGAGUAACCUGCCCUUGACUUUGGGAUAACUUCAGGAAACUGGGGCUAAUACCGGAUAGGAGCUCCUGCUGCAUGGUGGGGGUUGGAAAGUUUCGGCGGUUGGGGAUGGACUCGCGGCUUAUCAGCUUGUUGGUGGGGUAGUGGCUUACCAAGGCUUUGACGGGUAGCCGGCCUGAGAGGGUGACCGGCCACAUUGGGACUGAGAUACGGCCCAGACUCCUACGGGAGGCAGCAGUGGGGAAUAUUGCACAAUGGGCGGAAGCCGUAUGCAGCAACGCCGCGUGCGGGAUGACGGCCUUCGGGUUGUAAACCGCUUUCGCCUGUGACGAAGCGUGAGUGACGGUAAUGGGUAAAGAAGCACCGGCUAACUACGUG